UGGCUCAGAUUGAACGCUGGCGGCAGGCCUAACACAUGCAAGUCGAGCGGUUGAAGGAAGCUUGCUUCCUGAUUCAGCGGCGGACGGGUGAGUAAUGCCUAGGAAUCUGCCUGGUAGUGGGGGACAACGUUUCGAAAGGAACGCUAAUACCGCAUACGUCCUACGGGAGAAAGCAGGGGACCUUCGGGCCUUGCGCUAUCAGAUGAGCCUAGGUCGGAUUAGCUAGUUGGUGAGGUAAUGGCUCACCAAGGCGACGAUCCGUAACUGGUCUGAGAGGAUGAUCAGUCACACUGGAACUGAGACACGGUCCAGACUCCUACGGGAGGCAGCAGUGGGGAAUAUUGGACAAUGGGCGAAAGCCUGAUCCAGCCAUGCCGCGUGUGUGAAGAAGGUCUUCGGAUUGUAAAGCACUUUAAGUNGGAGGAAGGGCAGUCAGCGAAUACCUUGCUGUCUUGACGUUACCGACAGAAUAAGCACCGGCUAACUCUGUGCCAG
rnacentral:rRNA from 1 species